UCGGGGGCUCCACCACCGCGCGCUCCCACCCUCAAGGUCUGCAGGACACACCAAAGAACUCCUCCAAGUCACACAAGGGAGAAAAUUAACUUCAUUGGCUUCUAUCAGGAAAGCUAUUUUUUUUUUCCUCUUCUUUCCUGCAAGUUUCCCAAACCCCAUGACUCUGAUUUCCAGGUCAGAGACUAAGGUUUUAUUUUUCUUACUCUGUAUACUUUAUAUGUGGAGAGUCCCUGAAGGAACACUGUGAUGGGCUGAUUACUGUGAGCCAGUUGUGGGCCAGACCUGGCCUCAGGUGCUGCAAAGGGAAUUCAGUCACCCCUGUGCAGUGAUCUGUGAGCCCCAAGUCAGAUCCAACUUUUUCCUGAUAGACAGCACCCUCCUCCUCCCUACCAAGAAAUAGCAGGGUUGGAGGUAGUGACCCAAUAUUCAAGAGGUUUGAAAUUCUACAUGAGAUAUUUCUGAGUUAACUCCUAAAUAGCAGUUUCCUUAAUCAUGUGGAAAAUAAGAACACUUACUAAAGAGACCAUUGGUUUAAGAGAAAUGGAAACUUAUGUCCACGUAAAAACCUGUAAAUGAAUGUUCACAGCAGCCUUUUCAUAAUAGCCAAAAAGGGAAAGCAAUCCACACGUCCAUCAACCAAUGAAUGGAUAAACUUAACGUGGGAUAUACGUGUAAUGGAAUGCUAUUUGGUGAAGAAAGAAAUGAAAUAUUAAUACAUGCGUUAACAAGGAUGGACCUUAAAAUAUCAUGCUAAGUAAGAGAAGCCUGUCACAAAAGAAUAUGUAUUGUACCA
rnacentral:lncRNA from 1 species